rnacentral:rRNA from 1 species
GUAGGUGGCAAGCGUUGUCCGGAAUUAUUGGGCGUAAAGCGCGCGCAGGCGGUCCUUUAAGUCUGAUGUGAAAGCCCACGGCUCAACCGUGGAGGGUCAUUGGAAACUGGGGGACUUGAGUACAGAAGAGGAAAGCGGAAUUCCAAGUGUAGCGGUGAAAUGCGUAGAGAUUUGGAGGAACACCAGUGGCGAAGGCGGCUUUCUGGUCUGUAACUGACGCUGAGGCGCGAAAGCGUGGGGAGCAAACAGGGAUUAGAUACCCUGGUAGUCCACGCUGUAAACGAUGAGUGCUAAGUGUUAGGGGGGUUUCCGCCCCCUUAGUGCUGCAGCUAACGCAUUAAGCACUCCGCCUGGGGAGUACGGCCGCAAGGCUG